AAUCUAUGCAUCGAACAUUUCUGGAGUAAUUCUUUAAAUCGUUCCCAAGCUUUAUAUAGCAUUUCAUCCUCCAAUUUUCAAAAAGAUGUGAUGUCAUUUCUAAGCUU
rfam:Gossypium arboreum cultivar AKA8401 contig_46545_1, whole genome shotgun sequence.